rnacentral:rRNA from 1 species
GACGUAGGGUGCGAGCGUUGUCCGGAUUUAUUGGGCGUAAAGAGCUCGUAGGCGGCUCGUCGCGUCGACCGUGAAAACCCGCGGCUUAACUGCGGGCUUGCGGUUGAUACGGGCGGGCUAGAGUUCGGUAGGGGAGACUGGAAUUCCUGGUGUAGCGGUGAAAUGCGCAGAUAUCAGGAGGAACACCGGUGGCGAAGGCGCCACUCUGGGCCGAAACUGACGCUGAGGAGCGAAAGCAUGGGUAGCAAACAGG